rnacentral:rRNA from 1 species
GACGAACGCUGGCGGCGUGCUUAACACAUGCAAGUCGAGCGGUAAGGCCCUUUCGGGGGUACACGAGCGGCGAACGGGUGAGUAACACGUGGGUGACCUGCCCUCAGCUCUGGGAUAAGCCUGGGAAACUGGGUCUAAUACUGGAUAUGACUCCACGGUGCAUGUCGUGGGGUGGAAAGCCUUGUGCGGCUGAGGAUGGGCCCGCGGCCUAUCAGCUUGUUGGUGGGGUGANGGCCUACCAAGGCGACGACGGGUAGCCGGCCUGAGAGGGCGACCAGCCACACUGGGACUGAGACACGGCCCAGACUCCUACGGGAGGCAGCAGUGGGGAAUCUUGUGCAAUGGGCGAAAGCCUGACGCAGCGACGCCGCGUGAGGGAUGACGGCCUCGG